CCUACGGGCGGCAGCAGUGGGGAAUAUUGCACAAUGGGGGAAACCCUGAUGCAGCAACGCCGCGUGAGUGAAGAAGUAUUUCGGUAUGUAAAGCUCUAUCAGCAGGGAAGAAAAUGACAGUACCUGACUAAGAAGCCCCGGCUAACUACGUGCCAGCAGCCGCGGUAAUACGUAGGGGGCAAGCGUUAUCCGGAUUUACUGGGUGGAAAGGGAGCGUAGACGGCUGCGCAAGUCAGAAGUGAAAGCCCGGGGCUCAACCGCGGGACUGCUUUUGAAACUGUGUAGCUAGAGUGCAGGAGAGGUAAGUGGAAUUCCUAGUGUAGCGGUGAAAUGCGUAGAUAUUAGGAGGAACACCGGUGGCGAAGGCGGCUUACUGGACUGUAACUGACGUUGAGGCUCGAAAGCGUGGGGAGCAAACAGGAUUAGAUACCCGUGUAGUC
rnacentral:rRNA from 1 species